rnacentral:rRNA from 1 species
AGUGAACGCUGGCGGUAGGCCUAACACAUGCAAGUCGAACGGCAGCACAGUAAGAGCUUGCUCUUACGGGUGGCGAGGGGCGGGCGGGUGAGGAAUACAUCGUAAUCUUCCUUUUCGUUGGGGAUAACGUAGGUACACUUACGCUAAUACCGCAUACGACCUACGGGUGAAAGCAGGGGCACUUGGCGCCUUGCGAGAUUGAAUCAGACGAUGUCGGAUUACCUAGUUGACGGGGGAAUGGCCCACCAAGGCGACGAUCCGUAGCUGGUCUGAGAGGAGGGUCAGCGAAAAUGAACCGGAGACGGGGUCAAAACUCCUACGGAGGGCAGAAGUAGGGAAUAUUCGACAAUAGGCGCAAGCCUGAUCCAGCCAUACCACGUGGGUGAAGAAAGCCUUCAGGUUGUAAAGCCCUCUUGUUGGGAAAGAACAGCAGCAGGUUAAUACCCCGCUGUUCUGACGGUACCCAACAAAUAAGCGCCGGCUAACUUCGUG